CUGGAGUGAGAGAGUUCACAUUCCCAUAAACGACUUUCUACAAAGACUGCUCCGUCGUUAUCCAUUUCAUCAUCACACUUGGGACUUGGCGCAAAUUGUCGGAUACUCUCCGUCAAUGUGCGGCGGAGGCGAUGGGAUUGAGGUGCAUAUUACGCAGGGAGAUUAUGAAGGAAAAGCAGUGAUUAUAUACUGUAGAUGAACAAGGUUCGAGCACAGUGCUGUAUUGGGCUGAGAACAGCAAUGAGAGGAAGAAGAAGAAGAAGGCAGAGGGGAAGGUACACAUUUUACAACUUUGAUUCCUGGAGUAUAAUACCAAAUACUAUUACAAGAUCGGUAUUGGGCACACAACAAGAACUUUCUGGUUGACUGCACCUCCACCUGUUGGACCUGAUGCUCCAUAUACUUUUGGUCUUAUAGUGCUUCAAAACAGGGGAUUUGAUAGGUAUGACUUCCAUUACAAUAGGAGGUGGGAUUCACGGGGGAGGUUUUGUGGAGAGGAGUGUGGCUUUCCAACCCUGGAUUUGGACUGCUGGAAAUCAGGAGAUCAAUUUCGAACCUAAAAUUGGCGAAACGGAACCAUUCAAGUCUUAUAUAGGUAUAUAUACGUUUGUACGUGUUUAUUCUCUAUAAAAUGAUAAAUAUUUCAGGAACUCGUGUCUAACAUUGCGUACAAUAUUGUGAAUGGAAUUUGUACACCGGUGAGAGACCAGUCGGCCCCUGUUUACAUAAUCAUCGGAGAUGGAGGAAAUCUCGAAGGCCUCGCUACCAACAUGCCAGAGCCACAGCCGAAAUACUCGGCGUUCCGGGAGGCGAGCUUCAGACAUGCGACAUUCGCCAUAAAGAACAGGACACACGUGCACUACAGCUGGCACCGGAACCACAAUGGGGUCGCGGGGAAGCCGACUCCAUGUGGUUCUUCAACAGGGUAUACACGAUCUUGGAUAUACUUUGAGUCGCUUAGAUUCGCUUUGCUUAUGCGAUAUUUCGACCCUAUUAACGCCCCGGGUUACACGAAAUUCGUACGAGGAUAAAACAAAGCAAUACUCGGAUUUUAGUUGAAAAAUCGAGCAAUGGAUAACAAAAAGUAGUGGAGAUACCCAAAAGCGGAUAUCUUCAUUGCGGAUGGUCUAAUGUCAGCAUGACAGAGCCACAGCCGAAAUAUUCGGUGUUCCGGGAGGCAAGCUUCGGACAUGUGACAUUCGCUAUAAAGAACAGGACACACGCGUACUAUAACUGGCACCAGAACCAGGACAGGGUCGCGGUGGAAGCCGACUCCAUGUGGUUCUUCAACAGGGAACUUGUAUUUCCUACUGCAGUUGCUAUGCUCGUUUGCUUUGUAAGGAAGUAGUACAAAUUUCUGAAUAUUUUUUUAACAUAUCUAAGUGAAAUGCUUAUUUCCGACUAUUGAAGAAUUGAUAUACAUGUUUAUAUGCAUUUUUACAAAUUACACAUGUUAAACUCUAGUUUAAGUCGCAAACAUCCUAGAGAUAAUUAAUGUAAAUUACUAUUCAAUAUUGAUGUGCCAGAGCAUUGUAUUGAUGAAAACAAUAAACAUUAAUAUGCACGAAGGGAAAAACAUUAAAUUAGAGCAGGAGACGACAAAACAGGGAAUCUAAUCUAUCUACACAGUCAAUCAUUCAUAAUGUAAUCGCAUGCAUCAUGAGGUUCUGGAAAAAACAAAAAUAUUCGAUUGUUGCUCUAAAGAUAUUCAAUAAUUUAUCAGAAUCAUAGGAAUGAGUACUAUUGGUAGAUUAGACCAUACACUCAAAGAUAUAUAACACAUUCGGCCAAAGCCUUUCUUCCUAUGCAUAUCCAUACAAAAGCACUUGCAAAAAUCCACCAAUAACUUACUUCCCAAUCAAGCAAAUUAUCUUACCUAUGAGAAUAUAUAUAUAUAUAUAUUGGGGUUAGAAACAAUUAAAAUUCAUACUUGCAAGUGUCAAUCAAUCGAAAAAUCAAUGUAUCCCCUUUGCAUGAUUGGUGUGCUUUGGACAAAUAAAAUACUUACAAUCGAUAGAUCGACCGCGAAAAAUCAAAACCCUAUUGAACUUAGAAUGUACCCUCCUUUCCAAUGUUGAAUUAAGUACAAACAAUGACUAUGAUCCCACAAAAUUACAACUUGUUACCUACUAGCUAAGAAGAUCCCUCAAGAACAGAAUCAUCUUCCGAUGCAUCAAUCCAAACAGCAUUGUGGGGUUCCUCGAGGCAAUACUUGGGUUCCAAGAAAAAGGCACCUUCUCUCAUCCGUCCUGGCAUGUUAUCCAUUUUUUUUUUCUUAAUUGGAUGAGUCAACCUAUAGGGUUUACGAAAAUUGUUAGCCCUCCCAAGUCUUUCACCGUCAACACAGGUCCGAACAAGAAAGAUGUCUCCUCCCCAAAUCCAGCGUCGAUCAGUCCACUCAAAUGAAUGAAGAAAUUAGAUAGCUGGCUCGGGUGAAGCACAUUUCUCGGGUCCGUGCCGCUGAGCGUAGCCGAUGAGAUGGCAAUUUAAGGACCUGCAGAAAGCGUAAAAAUCGACCAUAAAAAUUGAAACCGGCAGUUUGAACAGAAUCAAAGUGAACUUUGAGCAAGGUGAGAAACCGGUAGUUUUUCUGGUUGGACAUAAGUCUCGACUCGAGCCGAGACCGGGCAGUCGUUCGCGUGAAUCCCUAUUUAUUGUGCGCCGGCUCAACAAAGUUCGCUUCAAUGAUACCUGAAAGACGCCCAAUGUUAACAUGACCGACGAUAAAAUGUGUUCGACCCAACGAUAGGGAUGGAUAGCGUACCGACGACUCCUCUGCCGUUGUUUCUAGCUGGACAGCGUACCGACGAUAAAAUGUGUUCAACUGUGUCGAAAUCCAAUUCAGGCGAUCCCUCGUCUUUUUCCCAGAUACUGUAGAUUAUGAUCCGCGUUCCUUGUUUAUCCAAGAAAUCGAACUGCAGAGGAGAAAACUAUAAAUUUUUGUUCGUCAUCUAGGAAUAGUAUCUGUUCUUAGUCAUCAAUUCAAAAGCUACCUGACGAAGGAGAUCUUUGUCGAACGGCCACCACUGCUGGAUGAUUUCGAGAUUUUGUAGCCAAGAGUGAGCUGAAGAUUUUUCGGGUUCGAUCCAAGUCCUUCCCCUUCACUCAUAAUUGAUUGUAGAGUUUGAUAAGAACAAGAUCCAAUGAGUAUUGCACGAUUAAUUGAUGCAUCAUAGUUUUUCGUAAUCGUAAAGAUACUUGCUUUAAAUAUUUAAUCAAUUUUACAAAACCUACCUAUCUCAAAACGUUCCAUCCAUGGCCCAACAAUCAAUUCUCAAUCCACAGCCAGAUUUUCUUAGUAUUCUUCUGUUCCAAAUUGUGGUGCCAAUAUCUCAUUUUGCCUCUCAUAUCUUCAAGUGAAGCAACAAAACAAAUAAACGAAAACCAAACAAGCAAAUUAACUGGAAAUUUAAAUAAAAAAAAAAAAACACAAAUUAGAUGCCUACAACAUCGUUUUCCUCUCUGGAACGUUGUCUUCUUUCUAUGGAUUCAGAUGCCUAUAAUUAAUUUAUUGUAUGUUUUUAUGUUCUCCUUUAGAAGCAGUAGAAAUUAAUAGAUUAAAUAAAUAAAUAUAAGUAAUCUAAUAUUGUAUGUUUUUAUGUUCUCCUUGGCAAGAAGUAAAAAUUAAUAGAUUAAAUAAAUAAAUAUAAGUACUCGAAUAUUAAAAUUAUAGAAGACAAAUUAGAAUCAACUAAAUUAAAAAAUUAAUAAAUUAAAUAAUUAUAUAUUUAAAACAAUUGAAUGAAAUAAGAAUAAAAAACACAUAGAAGAUAAACCAAAU